GAUGAACGCUGGCGGCGUGCCUAAUACAUGCAAGUCGAGCGAACAGACGAGGAGCUUGCUCCUCUGACGUUAGCGGCGGACGGGUGAGUAACACGUGGAUAACCUACCUAUAAGACUGGGAUAACUUCGGGAAACCGGAGCUAAUACCGGAUAAUAUAUUGAACCGCAUGGUUCAAAAGUGAAAGACGGUUUUGCUGUCACUUAUAGAUGGAUCCGCGCUGCAUUAGCUAGUUGGUAAGGUAACGGCUUACCAAGGCAACGAUGCGUAGCCGACCUGAGAGGGUGAUCGGCGACACUGGAACUGAAACACGGCCCAGACUCCUACGGGAGGCAGCAGUAGGGAAUCUUCCGCAAUGGGCGAAAGCCUGACGGAGCAACGCCGCGUGAGUGAUGAAGGUCUUCGGAGCGUAAAACUCUGUUAUGAGGGAAGAACAAAUGUGUAAGUAACUAUGCACUUCUUGACGGUACCUAAUCAGAAAGCCACGGCUAACUACGUG
rnacentral:rRNA from 1 species